rnacentral:ncRNA from 1 species
CGUAAUGCGUAGAUUGGAACAAGUAAACAAAAGAACAUGUUCAGAGAGUUGGUUUCAGCGGCUGAAAGAACCGACCAUCCCUACUUUUGUUGAACCCUAUUCCAGGAGCAGUUGGCAAAACCAAUCGUCUCAUUGACGUUAUCAAUGUAAAGUGGGCAUGCUACUGUAUGCUAACUAAGGUGGUACCGCGGAGCUCGUCCGUCCUUAUU